GAUGAACGCUGGCGGCGUGCCUAAUACAUGCAAGUCGAGCGAACGGACGAGAAGCUUGCUUCUCUGAUGUUAGCGGCGGACGGGUGAGUAACACGUGGAUAACCUACCUAUAAGACUGGGAUAACUUCGGGAAACCGGAGCUAAUACCGGAUAAUAUUUUGAACCGCAUGGUUCAAAAGUAAAGACGGUCUUGCUGUUCCUUAUAGAUUGAUCCGCGCUGCCUUAGCUAGUUGGUAAGGUAACGGCUUACCAAGGCAACGAUGCAUAGCCGACCUGAGAGGGUGAUCGGCCACACUGGAACUGAGACACGGUCCAGACUCCUACGGGAGGCAGCAGUAGGGAAUCUUCCGCAAUGGGCGAAAGCCUGACGGAGCAACGCCGCGUGAGUGAUGAAGGUCUUCGGAUCGUAAAACUCUGUUAUUAGGGAAGAACAUAUGUGUAAGUAACUGUGCACAUCUUGACGGUACCUAAUCAGAAAGCCACGGCUAACUACGUG
rnacentral:rRNA from 1 species